GAUGAACGCUAGCUACAGGCUUAACACAUGCAGUCGAGGGGCAGCACAGUGUAGCAAUACAUGGGUGGCGACCGGCGCACGGGUGCGUAACGCGUAUCCAACUUCCCGUUACUCUUGGAUAGCCUUCCGAAAGGGAGAUUAAUACCUGAUGGUAUUCAAAUUUCGCAUGUUAUUGAAUUAAAGAUUUAUCGGUAACGGAUGGGGAUGCGUGACAUUAGAUAGUAGGCGGGGUAACGGCCCACCUAGUCUACGAUGUCUAGGGGUUCUGAGAGGAAGGUCCCCCACACUGGAACUGAGACACGGUCCAGACUCCUACGGGAGGCAGCAGUGAGGAAUAUUGGUCAAUGGGCGAGAGCCUGAACCAGCCAAGUAGCGUGAGGGAUGACAGCCCUACGGGUUGUAAACCUCUUUUGUCCGGGAAUAAAACGGGGGACGCGUCCCCCCUUGCAUGUACCGGUUGAAUAAGGGCCGGCUAAUUCCGUG
rnacentral:rRNA from 1 species